ACAUCCCCAUCACAGCUCCCUCACAUCAUGAACAGGAAGUCCAUUCACAGCAUAAAUGUGCAGGUAGGCUACAGGUAGACUGACUACUGUUUCUAAAUGUUAAAGACUGCAUCAUAGUUCAACAUCUGUCAUUCUCUGCACUGUCCAGAUCAUAUGUGAUGCUGCAUACAUCAUUUCUAAUGUGGAGGCCAAGUGGUCUGGGUCUGUUCAUGACUCCAGGAUUUAUGGAGAGUCUAACCUGAGCAACAGACUGCAGCGUGGAGAGUUUGAUGGCCUUCUGCUGGGUGACAGGGGUUACCAUGCCAACCCAGGCUGAUGACCUCAUACCCUGACCCUGAACCAGGCCCCCAACAGAACUUCAACCGGACUCACUGCAGGACCAGAGCCCGGGUGGAGAUGACCAUAGGCCUGCUGAAAGCCCGUUUCCAGAGCCGACGUCUCCUCAGGGUGACCCCUGAGAGGGCCUGUGAUAUUACUGUGGCAUGUGUUGUUCUUCAUAAUAUUACCACUAUUAGAGGAGAGCAACACCCUGCCCUACAAACUGAAGACCCAGAUGAUGAGCCCAUCCACCUGCAGCUAUCCAGGACAGCAGAGCAGUCAGAGACACCGUAUGCAAUAAUCACUUUAGAGUUUAAGUCACCAUCAUCACCACCACAGCAAAUAAAGACAUGAUACACAUUUCAUUUGGUCUUCUUUAUUUCCUACAAAUAAAAGAGAUAGUUCAGUUCAUGUUCCAGUAGUUAACAUAAUUCACCUGUGACCAUCACCACCUCUAACUUGUGCUCCAGUAUUUCAAUUUCCAGAUCUGCCCUCCUAAUCUGUUUUUUGGAUUUUUCUCAGCAAAUGCAGUUUGUAAAUCUGUUUUACUGAUAACUGGGAAUACAUAGAGGACAUUAAAUUAUACAGUUGCACAUGAA